rnacentral:rRNA from 1 species
UACGUAGGGGCUAGCGUUAUCCGGAAUUACUGGGCGUAAAGGGUGCGUAGGCGGUCUUUCAAGCCAGAAGUGAAAGGCUACGGCUCAACCGUAGUAAGCUUUUGGAACUGUAAGACUUGAGUGCAGGAGAGGAGAGUGGAAUUCCUAGUGUAGCGGUGAAAUGCGUAGAUAUUGGGAAGAAUACCGGUGGCGAAGGCGACUUGCUGGGCAGCAACUGACGCUGAGGCGCGAAAGCCAGGGGAGCAAACGGGAUUAGAUACCCCGGUAGUCCCUGAGCGGG